rnacentral:rRNA from 1 species
AUUGAACGCUGGCGGCAGGCCUAACACAUGCAAGUCGAGCGAGCGGCGGACGGGUGAGUAAUGUCUGGGGAACUGCCCGAUGGAGGGGGAUAACUACUGGAAACGGUGGCUAAUACCGCAUACUAUCGGAUGUGCCCAUAUGGGAUUAGCUAGUAGGGGGGGUAAAGGCUCACCAAGGCGACGAUCUCUAGCUGGUCUGAGAGGAUGACCAGCCACACUGGGACUGAGACACGGCCCAGACUCCUACGGGAGGCAGCAGUGGGGAAUAUUGCACAAUGGGCGCAAGCCUGAUGCAGCCAUGCCGCGUGUAUGAAGAAGGCCUUCGGGUUGUAAAGUACUUUCAGCGGGGAGGCGUUACCCGCAGAAGAAGCACCGGCUAACUCCGUGCCAGCAGCCGCGGUAAUUC